rnacentral:sRNA from 1 species
UCCACCAGUGGACUCUGCGUUUAGGAGC